CAGGGAAUUUCAUUGUGCUGCAAGUCAAACUCCAGAUUUUCAUCAAGUUUGAUCAAUUUAUCCAGAUCAACAGUAAAGAUGAAGCUGUUAUCACUUCUCUUCCUCCUGGCUCCACUGCUGAUCAGCUGUGAAGCGGCUGAGGACCAACUGCCACGUGAUUGCGAUGACAUCUACAAUAAGGACAAGAAACUUCCAGUGGAGUUUACAUCAUCUAUCCAAAUGGACAUUCAUCUGCUGUUAAGGCUUACUGCGACAUGGACUCAGAGGGAGGACGCUGGACGGU